AUUGAACGCUGGCGGCACGCCUAACACAUGCAAGUCGAGCGGUAACAGGAUCUGUAGCAAUACAGAUUGCUGACGAGCGGCGGACGGGUGAGGAACACGUAGGAAUCUACCCUUGAGCGGGGGAUAACCAAGGGAAACUUUGGCUAAUACCGCAUAAACUCGAGAGAGAAAAGCUACCCGCAAGGGCGGCACUUGAGGAGGAGCCUGCGUCCGAUUAGCUAGUUGGGGGGUAAGAGCCCACCAAGGCAAUGAUCGGUAACUGGUCUGAGAGGACGACCAGUCACACUGGGACUGAGACACGGCCCAGACUCCUACGGGAGGCAGCAGUGGGGAAUAUUGGACAAUGGGGGCAACCCUGAUCCAGCGAUGCCGCGUGGGUGAAGAAGGCCUGGUGUAAG
rnacentral:rRNA from 1 species